rnacentral:rRNA from 1 species
UACAGGGGGUGCAAACGUUGCUCGGAAUUAUUGGGCGUAAAGCGCACGUAGGCGGUUCGUUAUGUCAGAUGUGAAAGCCCUUGGCUCAACUGAGGAAGUGCAUCUGAAACUGGCGAGCUAGAGUAUGUAAGAGGGUCGCGGAAUUCCCGGUGUAGAGGUGAAAUUCGUAGAUAUCGGGAGGAACACCAGUGGCGAAGGCGACUACCUGGCCUGUUCUUGACGCUGAGGCGCGAAAGCUAGGGGAGCAAACGGG